rnacentral:rRNA from 1 species
CAGAAACUACAAAGGAAUUGACGGGGCCCGCACAAGCGGUGGAGUAUGUGGUUUAAUUCGAUGCAACGCGAAGAACCUUACCUGGUCUUGACAUCCCGGAGACCCUUAGGAAACUAGGGGGUGCUUCCAUCUGGAAGAAUCUGGAGACAGGUGCUGCAUGGCUGUCGUCAGCUCGUGUCGUGAGAUGUUGGGUUAAGUCCCGCAACGAGCGCAACCCUUGCCUUUAGUUGCCAGCAGUUCGGCUGGGCACUCUAAAGGGACUGCCGGUGUUAAACCGGAGGAAGGUGGGGAUGACGUCAAGUCCUCAUGGCCUUUAUGACCAGGGCUACACACGUACUACAAUGGCCGAUACAAAGGGCAGCGACACUGCGAGGUGAAGCCAAUCCCGUAAAAUCGGUCUCAGUCCGGAUUGGAGUCUGCAACUCGACUCCAUGAAGUUGGAAUCGCUAGUAAUCGUGGAUCAGCAUGCCACGGUGAAUACGUUCCCGGGCCUU